rnacentral:rRNA from 1 species
GAGUUUGAUCCUGGCUCAGGAUGAACGCUAGCGACAGGCCUAACACAUGCAAGUCGAGGGGCAGCGGGGGAGUAGCAAUGCUCCCGCCGGCGACCGGCGCACGGGUGAGUAACACGUAUGGAACCUGCCCGCAGCAGGGGGAUAAGCGGAAGAAAUUCCGUCUAAUACCGCGUAACACCGCGGAGGGGCAUCCCUCGGCGGUUAAAGAUUCAUCGGCUGCGGAUGGCCAUGCGGCGCAUUAGCUAGUCGGCGGGGUAACGGCCCACCGAGGCGACGAUGCGUAGGGGUUCUGAGAGGAAGGUCCCCCACACUGGUACUGAGACACGGACCAGACUCCUACGGGAGGCAGCAGUGAGGAAUAUUGGUCAAUGGCCGGGAGGCUGAACCAGCCAAGUCGCGUGAGGGAAGACGGCCCUACGGGUUGUAAACCUCUUUUGUCAGGGAGCAAGGUGCANGUUCGGGACCUNCNUGUNAGANUNCCUGNAANAAAAAGCAUCGGCUAANUNCNGUGCCAGCAAGCCGCGGUAAUACGGAGGAUGNCGAGCGUUUAUCCGGAUUUAUUGGGUUUAAAGGGNUGCGCAGGCGGAGGCCACAAGUCAGCGGUAAANUCGCGGGGCUCAANCCCCGCUUCCGCCCGUUGAAACUGUGUCCCUUGAGUGCGCGAAGGGGUAGGCGGAAUGCGUGGUGUAGCGGUGAAAAUGCAUAGAUAUCACGCAGAACUCCGAUCGCGAAGGCAGCCUACCGGCGCGCAACUGACGCUCAUGCACGAAAGCGUGGGUAUCNAACAGGAUUAGAUACCCUGGUAGUCCACGCAGUAAACGAUGAAUGCUAUCUGUCCGGCCGGAAUGACGGCUGGGUGGCACAGCGAAAGCGUUAAGCAUUCCACCUGGGGAGUACGCCGGCAACGGUGAAACUCAAAGGAAUUGACGGGGGCCCGCACAAGCGGAGGAACAUGUGGUUUAAUUCGAUGAUACGCGAGGAACCUUACCCGGGCUCAAACNACGCAGGGAUGGAUGUNAAAGCAUACAGUCCUUUUUAGNACCUGCGUCGAGGUGCUGCAUGGUUGUCGUCAGCUCGUGCCGUGAGGUGUCGGCUUAAGUGCCAUAACGAGCGCAACCCCCAUCUUCAGUUGCCAUCAGGUAGAGCUGGGCACUCUGGAGAGACUGCCGGCGCAAGCUGCGAGGAAGGCGGGGAUGACGUCAAAUCAGCACGGCCCUUACGUCCGGGGCGACACACGUGUUACAAUGGCAGGUACAGCGGGAAGCCAGGCGGCGACGCCGAGCGGAACCCGAAAACCUGUCUCAGUUCGGAUCGGAGUCUGCAACCCGACUCCGUGAAGCUGGAUUCGCUAGUAAUCGCGCAUCAGCCAUGGCGCGGUGAAUACGUUCCCGGGCCUUGUACACACCGCCCGUCAAGCCAUGGAAGCCGGGGGUGCCUGAAGUGUGCAGCCGCAAGGAGCGCCCUAAGGUAAAACCGGUGACUGGGGCUAAGUCGUAANCAAGGUAAC